AGUGAACGCUGGCGGUAGGCCUAACACAUGCAAGUCGAACGGCAGCACAGUAAGAGCUUGCUCUUACGGGUGGCGAGUGGCGGACGGGUGAGGUAUACAUCGGAAUCUACUUUUUCGUGGGGGAUAACGUAGGGAAACUUACGCUAAUACCGCAUACGACCUACGGGUGAAAGCAGGGGAUCUUCGGACCUUGCGCGAUUGAAUGAGCCGAUGUCGGAUUAGUUAGUUGGCGGGGUAAAGGCCCACCAAGGCGACGAUCCGUAGCUGGUCUGAGAGGAUGAUCAGCCACACUGGAAGUGAGACACGGUCCAGACUCCUACGGGAGGCAGCAGUGGGGAAUAUUGGACAAUGGGCGCAAGCCUGAUCCAGCCAUACCGCGUGGGGGAAGAAGGCCUUCGGGUUGUAAAGCCCUUUUGUUGGGAAGGAAAAGCAGCAGGUUAAUACCCCGCUGUUCUGACGGUACCCAAAGAAUAAGCACCGGCUAACUUCGUG
rnacentral:rRNA from 1 species